rnacentral:misc_RNA from 1 species
GAUGAAGAACGCAGCGAAAUGCGAUAAGUAAUGUGAAUUGCAGAAUUCAGUGAAUCAUCGAAUCUUUGAACGCACAUUGCGCCCGCUAGUAUUCUGGCGGGCAUGCCUGUCCGAGCGUCAUUUCAACCCUCAAGCCCCCGGGCUUGGUGUUAGGGAUCGGCGAGCCUCCGCGCCCGCCGUCCCCUAAAUCUAGUGGCGGUCUCGCUGUAGCUUCCUCUGCGUAGUAGCACACCUCGCACUGGGAAACAGCGCGGCCACGCCGUUAAACCCCCAACUUCUGAACGUUUGACCUCGGAUCAGGUAGGAAUACCCGCUGAACUUAAGCAUAUCAAUAAGCGGAGGA